rnacentral:rRNA from 1 species
CCUACGGGUGGCAGCAGUGGGGAAUAUUGGGCAAUGGGCGCAAGCCUGACCCAGCAACGCCGCGUGAAGGAAGAAGGCUUUCGGGUUGUAAACUUCUUUUAAGGGGGACGAACAAAUGACGGUACCCCUUGAGUAAGCCACGGCUAACUACGUGCCAGCAGCCGCGGUAAUACGUAGGUGGCAAGCGUUAUCCGGAUUUAUUGGGUGUAAAGGGCGUGUAGGCGGGAGCGCAAGUCAGAUGUGAAAACUCAGGGCUCAACGCUGAGCCUGCAUUUGAAACUGUGUUUCUUGAGUGCUGGAGAGGCAGUCGGAAUUCCGUGUGUAGCGGUGAAAUGCGUAGAUAUACGGAGGAACACCAGUGGCGAAGGCGGAUUGCUGGACAGUAACUGACGCUGAGGCGCGAAAGCAUGGGUAGCGAACAGGAUUAGAUACCCUAGUAGUC